CCUACGGGCGGCAGCAGUGGGGAAUAUUGGGCAAUGGAGGAAACUCUGACCCAGCAACGCCGCGUGAAUGAUGAAGGUCCUCGGAUUGUAAAGUUCUUUUCUAAGGGAAGAAGAAAGUGACGGUACCUUAGGAAUAAGCCUCGGCUAACUACGUGCCAGCAGCCGCGGUAAUACGUAGGAGGCGAGCGUUAUCCGGAAUGACUGGGCGUAAAGGGUGCGUAGGUGGUUUGGCAAGUUAGUAGCGUAACUCCAAGGCUCAACCUUGGAACUACUACUAAAACUGUUGGACUUGAGUGCAGGAGGGGCAACCGGAAUUCGUAGUGUAGCGGUGGAAUGCGUAGAUAUUAGGAGGAACACCAGUGGCGAAGGCAGGUUGCUGGACUGUAACUGACACUGAGGCACGAAAGCGUGGGGAGCAAACAGGAUUAGAUACCCUUGUAGUC
rnacentral:rRNA from 1 species